CCGCUGGGAGGCACGCAAGACGCACGAGAGCAAAACGUGUCAGGGCAAGCGCAGCUGACAGACAGACAACUGUUGUAACAGUAAUGUUAGUUGAACUCCCCUCCCGGCUCAGAGCACCGAACCCAGGAGAGGAACUCAAAAUAGUUCACGUUUUCUACUCUGGGAGUUACUUAAAUGUUUUAUCUUCUCUCUGCGGGCAGAGAAAAGUUUCUGAGGGCUCACUGAGCGACUAAGACAUGGCAGCCUCUGAACUUUACGCCAAGUUUGCCCGUGUAUGGCUGCCAGAUGCUGAAGAAGUGUGGAAGUCAGCAGAGCUUGUCAAAGAUUACACUCCUGGCGACCUGAAGCUGACUCUGCAGCUGGAUGAUGGCACGGAGGUGGAAUACAAAAUAGACCCCCGAACCAACAACCUGCCACCACUAAGAAACCCUAACAUCCUGGUGGGGGAAAAUGACCUCACAGCUCUCAGCUACCUGCACGAGCCUGCAGUGCUACACAACCUUAAAGUGCGCUUUACAGACUCCAAGUUGAUUUACACAUACUGUGGAAUUGUCCUGGUUGCCAUUAAUCCUUAUGAGAGCUUGCCCAUCUAUGAAUCGGACAUCAUCAAUGCCUACAGUGGGCAAAACAUGGGAGACAUGGACCCCCAUAUAUUUGCAGUAGCAGAGGAAGCAUACAAACAGAUGGCUAGAGAUAAUAGAAACCAGUCCAUCAUAGUGAGUGGUGAGUCAGGAGCUGGCAAAACUGUCUCUGCUAAGUACGCUAUGCGUUACUUUGCCACAGUCAGCUGCUCCUCUGAUAAGGCCAAUGAUGAGAGAGUCCUUUUCUCCAGCCCCAUCAUGGAGGCUUUUGGGAAUGCCAAGACAACAAGGAAUGACAACAGCAGUCGCUUUGGGAAGUACAUUGAGAUUGGGUUUGAUAAGCAGCAUUGUAUAAUUGGGGCUAACAUGAGAACCUACUUACUGGAAAAGUCUAGAGUUGUGUUUCAGGCCCACAAUGAAAGGAACUACCAUAUAUUCUACCAGCUGUGUGCCUCUUCACACUUACCAGAGUUCAAAGCCUUUGAUUUAGGUUGCGCAGAUGACUUCCACUGUACUAACCAGGGUCAGAGCCCAGUCAUCGAUGGAGUGGAUGAUGCCAAAGAGAUGUGCAAUACCAGGAGUGCUUUCUCCCUGUUAGGAAUCGGUGAAAGUGAUCAAAUGUCAAUUUACCAAAUUUUGGCAGCUAUUCUCCAUCUUAGCAAUGUGGAGGUGAAAGAUCAGUCAGCAGACAGAUGCAGCAUCUUGCCAGACAAUGUCCACCUGAUGGUGUUUUGUGAGUUGAUGGGGGUGCCCUGUGAAGAAAUGGCCCACUGGUUAUGUCACAGGAAACUCAAGACAACUACAGAAACCUAUGUCAAGUCUGUCUCCAAAAUGAAUGCGGUCAAUGGCCGAGAUGCCCUCGCCAAACACAUCUAUGCUGGACUCUUCAGCUGGAUUUUGGCCAGUAUUAACAAUGCCUUAAAGUCUGCAGCAAAACAGCACUCCUUCAUUGGUGUGCUCGACAUUUACGGGUUUGAAACAUUUGAUGUCAACAGCUUUGAACAGUUUUGCAUCAAUUAUGCCAAUGAGAAGCUUCAACAACAGUUCAACCUGCAUGUCUUUAAACUGGAGCAAGAGGAGUACAUGAAAGAGGAUAUUCCCUGGACAUUGAUUGACUUUUACGACAACCAGCCAUGUAUUGAUCUCAUUGAAGCCAAGCUGGGUGUUCUGGACCUUCUGGAUGAAGAGUGCAAGAUGCCCAAAGGCUCUGAUGACACAUGGUCCCAGAAACUGUACAACACCCUGCUGAAGAAGCAGAAUGCUUGCUUUGAUAAACCCAGGUUAUCAAACAGAGCUUUCAUCAUCCACCACUUUGCAGAUAAGGUGGAGUACCAGUGUGAGGGUUUCCUGGAGAAAAACAAGGACACAGUCAAUGAGGAGCAGAUAAAUGUUCUUAAAAAGAGCAAGGUUGUUUGGUUGCUGAAGCUGUUUGAGGAUGAUGAGAAGGCAACAAGUUCUACGAACAAGCGUGCUAGUGUCACUGGAAGGACCGGUCAGACCCAGAGGGAUAAUAAGAAGACUGUUGGACUGCAGUUUCGACAGUCUCUACAUUUGCUGAUGGACACACUAAAUGCUACAACUCCACACUACGUACGCUGCAUCAAGCCAAAUGACCACAAAUCUCCAUUCAUCAUGGAUCCUGUGAGGGCAGUGCAGCAGCUUCGAGCAUGUGGCAUCCUCGAAACAAUCCGGAUAUCAGCAGCAGGCUUCCCAUCUAGAUGGACGUAUCAGGAAUUCUUUAGUCGUUAUCGGGUCCUCAUGAAGCAAAAGGAUGUGCUUCUUGACAGAAAACAAACCUGCAAAAAUCUCCUGGAAAAACUUAUAAAGAACCAGGAUAAGUAUAAGUUUGGCAAAACCAAGAUCUUCUUCAGGGCUGGUCAGGUGGCUUACCUGGAGAAGCUGCGUUCUGACAAGCUGCGUAUGGCAUGUGUCCGCAUCCAGAAGACUAUCCGCUGCUGGCUGGCCCGCAAAAAGUACCUGAGGAUGAGGGAAUCUGCUGUCACCAUACAGAGACAUGUACGAGGUCACCAGGCACGCUGUUAUGUUACGUUUCUGCGAAGAACCAGAGCAGCUAUUAUCAUUCAGCGGAACGUGCGUAUGUGGGUGACCAGGAGACGCUACCAGCAGCAGCGCUCUGCAGCUAUCGCUAUUCAGUGCAUCUCGAGGGCCUACAUGGCUAGAAAGCAGUACUAUAAGUUGGUGUUUGAGCAAAAAGCUGUUGUCAUCCAGAAAUGGGUGAAAGGCUGGCUGGCUAGACAGCAUUUCAGACGCACCGUGGCUGCCAUCGUCCUGCUGCAGAGCUGUGUACGUCGCAUAAAGGCCAAGAAGGAAUUGAAGAAGCUGAAAGUGGAGGCACGCUCUGUGGAGCGCUUCAAGAAGCUCAACAUUGGCAUGGAGAACAAGAUUAUGCAGUUGCAGCACAAGAUAAAUGAGCAGCAUAAAGAGAACAGAGAGCUCAGUGAGAGGCUGAAUGCUGUGGAGAAGACCCAGACUAUGGAGAGAGAGAAACAGAGCAGAGAGAUCGAAAGCCUACGUAGAUCAGAACAGGAGGCCAAAGCCAAGGCAGUGACGGUUCCCUCUCUGCUGGAGAAGCUCUCCUUCCUUCAGAACGAGCUGGAAAACACCCGCAGAGAGAAAGAAGACCUUGAAGCGCAGACUAAGGUAUACAAGGAGCAGACACAACAGAUGGUAGAAGACCUUAAUAUGAAGAACAGCUUGUUGAACAACGAGAAAGAUGAGCUGAACAAACUAAUCCUGGAACAAGCCCAUCAGUUAACAGAUAUUAAAACCUACGUUGAGAAUGCAGAACAGCUGGAAAAGGACUUAACUGAAGAGCGCUCUCGCUACCAAAGUCUGUUGAGUGAAAACCUGCAUCUGGAGGAGCGGCACAGAGACCUGAAGGAAGAGAUGAAUCUCAGCAUUAGUUCAAGCAAAUCUGGUCACAAGAGGACAGACUCCAACUACAGCAGCAACUCAUCUGAGUUUAGUCAGAGCUUAGGCUCUACUGAGGGAGAAGACAGCUCCAUACAAACAGAGGAUGAGACCCAGGCAACGGUGGACCUGCCGGUCUUUCUGAAGCUCCAGAGAAGAGUGAAGGAACUGGAGCAGGAAAACCGGUCACUAUGGCAGCAGCUGGAUAACAGAGAAGAUGCCCAACAAGAAAGGGCAGAAGAGGCGGAGGAGCAGAGAACUGUUGGCAGAGCAGAGCUGGACUUGGAGACACUAAAGCGACAAGAACUGGAGGCUGAGAACAAGAAGUUGAAGCAGGAUCUAAACCAGCUGCGGAAGUCUCUGACCAAUGAGAAUAGUGAAUUGGCGCCCCCUACCCCUGGCUCUCUGCCCUACAACAUACUGCUGGAUCACCUCAGUUCUUCCAAUGAGGAGCUGGAGAUGCGAAAAGAGGAAGUGCUGCUCCUCCGGUCACAUAUGGUCCGCCAAGAGGCCCUUAAACACAAGGACUCUGUGCUCGGGGAAGGUGUGAAAUUAGAUCUAAGUGAAAUUCCCUCAUUUCAAGAUGUUGAGAGGUCCACUGGCAUCCAUACACUGAAUGAAGAUGGAGAGCUGUGGCUGGCUUAUGAAGGCUUGAAAGAGACCAAUAGACUUCUGGAGGGCCAGAUGCAGGAGCAGGAACGUGUUCACAAUGAGGAGUAUAGGAAGCUGCAUGAGGAGGUGAAGAAGUUGAAGGCUGAAAAGGAGCAACAGCAGAAGCUGCUGGCCCAGAGCCUCCUCCUGCCUGAAGAUGCCCGUAUUGAUGCGAGCCUGAAGCACGAGAUCACACUGCUCACCAAUGACAACCUGGAACUCAUGAAACAGCAAGAGCAACAAGACAAAACCAUGCGCAAGUUAAAAAAACAACUUAAACUUUACAUAAAAAAAGUUGAAGAUUUUGAAGCGAGUGCUCAGCAAAAGAAUAAAGCUCCUGUGAUGAGCGCUCCUGUCAGAGCGGUGAAUAUCACCCGCAAGGAGAAAGAGUACCGGGGCAUGUUGGAGUACAGGGAGGGUGACGAGAGCCGCUUGCUUAAGAAUCUGGUCGUAGAUCUGAAGCCUCGUGGUGUAGCAGUCAGCUUCAUUCCUGGGCUUCCAGCUUACAUCAUCUUCAUGUGUGUACGAUAUGCGGACAAUGUGAAUGAUGAUCAGAGAGUCAGCACUCUGCUCAAUUCCACCAUCACCAGCAUCAAGGGGGUCAUUAAGAGGAGAGGAAAGGAUUUUGAAGCGGUGUCUUUCUGGCUGGCCAACACAUGCCGAUUAAUGCACUGUCUGAAGCAGUACAGUGGAGAUGAGGCCUUCAUAACACACAACACUGCUAAGCAAAAUGAGCAGUGCCUAGCCAACUUUGAACUGUCAGAGUACCAGCAGGUUUUUGGUGAUCUAGCCAUCCAAAUUUACCGCCAGCUCAUCAAAUGCAUGGAGGACAUCCUGCAGCCCCUGAUUGUGGCAAGCAUGCUGGAGCAUGAAACAAUCCAGGGUGUUUUGGGGUCCAAACCCACAGGCCUGAGGAAGAGAAGCACCAGUUUCCCAGAGCCAGCUGUUACAGUGGAAGUCCUGCUGCAGCGUCUUGGCCUCUUCUACACCACCAUGAGUCAGCACGGGAUGGACUCGGACCUCAUUAAACAGGUGGUCAAGCAGCAGUUUUACAUCAUCUGUGCGGUCACACUCAACCACCUGCUGCUGCGGAAGGACAUGUGCUCCUGGAGUAAAGGCCUGCAGAUCAGGUACAAUGUUUGGCAGUUGGAAGAAUGGCUGGCAGAGAGGGAGCUUGCAGACUGCGGUGCCAAGGAGACUCUGGAGCCUCUUCUACAGGCUGCACAGCUCCUACAGAUCAAGAAGAAGACUGAGGCAGACGCACAAACUAUUUGCACAAUGUGUUCUGCCCUCACCACAGCACAGAUUGUAAAAGUGUUGACCUUGUACACCCCAGUGAUUGAGUUUGAAGAGCGAGUGCCGACCACUUUCAUCACAACUAUUAAAAACCUUUUGAAAGACAGAGUUGAGUCAUCCACUUUGAUGAUGGAUGGCAAGAAGAUCUUUUCCAUCACCCUCCCCUUCACACCCUCCUCUGUGGCUCUGGAGACCAUCCAGAUCCCUGCGAGCCUCAAUCUGGGCUUCCUUGCCCGCAUCUAGACCUAGACUUCUGACACUGACUCCUGUUUACAAGAGUAAAAACACCUAAGACAGUUUUUCACCAAAGUUUCUACCAGUUGUAAUGUCUUAUCACUGAUUAUUGCAGCACUCCAGCGGAAUGAGGAUACAUUGUUUACAUGUGUCUUUGUAUUAGCUUUUCAGCACUGCCUAGCCAAAGAGUAAUAACUGUAUGAAUGGUAAAUUUGCAACAACUAAAAAGAAAUUUGACUUUUCACAUUAUAACAUCUGCAAGUGAUAAAUAUCCUGGUAACUAUUAAUGUAAGUGUUUCUAUGACAAAAUCUUUUUUUAAUGGUUAACCAUGAGCUAUGUUAAAAUAUUUAUGUGCAUCUGAUCUAAAUGUUGGAAAUGUCUCAAGAUGAAAUUCUGUUUUAUUUCUGUAACUUGUAAACUACUAAUAUCAGGUGAUGGUAUUUAUGUCUGUACAAGGCAAGGGAACAGAAAACCAUUUGAGUAUGUAUUUAACCAGUCUUUAUGUUGUCGCUUAUAGUAAAGACUGGCUUUUCAGUAAGAUGGUUGGAAGUGCUUAAAAAAAAUAGUUGCACUACCUCACGAGGUGUUGUGGAUCUGGAAAAUAUUUUAAUUAUGUUUUAGUAUUCUCUUUCUUGACACUGACACACUCACUGUAAUAAGGUAUAGAACUGUACUUAGCAGUAGAGAUCCUUCAUGGAACACAUUUAUUUAAAUAGGGAUGUGCACGCUAAUCCUCAUCUCUUUGAAAGAAGAGCUGUAGGAUUGAGACUGGAAGACUAAUAAAACUUAUCUUUUUAAGUCCCUGACAUGAAAAAGUUUAGGGAUCUAGGAUUUAAAAAUAUGUGUGUGGACUGAUGUAACUAACUCUUGCCUUCCAGUCUCAGUAAUAUCUGAUCCUUACAUGAUCACCAUGCUAUAUGCUGCCAGAGAAAGUUAUCUUUUAUCGUGCCAUGUUCAUCCUGCUCUGUAUUUGCAAAUGCAUAAUAUGAAAAUGCCUAAAAAGUUAAUAAGUGAUUAAUCUCUUGGUUUUUAAAGCUUCUCAGCUGUGCACACCA